ACUUCUGUUCGUGAGAUUCACGUAUCGCUACGAAACAGAGGCAGCAAGGUUGUUUACGCAGACAAGAAAAUUAUAGGGUUCUUUACAAAUCACUAAUUCUCGAACUCAGAAUCAAUUGUUUGACGGGCAUAAAUUGGACUGGGGCCUACGUAUUGGCUCGAGGAGUUUUGAGGAACCGAUUUUGCAGGCGAACAGGUUACGGGUUAGGACUUCCUUCUCUUCCAGUGCUAUUGGU